rnacentral:lncRNA from 1 species
AGAUCCCCCUCAGAAAUCUAGAUUAGCAGAAAGAUGAACUGUAUAUUGGAGCGGCAACUAGGAGUCUUAAGAAGGAAGGAUUUUGGAGUAUAGGAGGGAUAUUGAGAAAGCUGUCAUGAGGACUGCCCUCUCAAAAAGAGCUUAUGAGAAUGAUCUAUUAAUUAAUUGGGAUAGUUCCAGAAUAAUUAAGCAAGACCUGAACGUCAAUAAAUUGCCUAUAGCCGAGACAAUCCAGAUUUACAAAGGUAGACAAGAUGCUAUGGUUAUAAAUGAUAAACAGAUAGAUUCCAUCCAGAAACCCUGGAGGUACCUUUUAAGAAGAUAGAAGGCAGAGCUAGGAUCACAGAAAGAAACUCUUACAAUUAUUAUGCCUCAUUAAGUUCCCCUUGUUGUUAUAUUUGGAUCACUAAUGUUUAUUAUUAUUUUAUUUAUAUAAGUUAAUUUUAUUUGUUUUAAAUUAUUAAUGGCC